UACGGUUCCGUGCAAGCGUUAAUCGGAAUCACUGGGCGUAAAGGGUGCGUAGGCGGUACGUUAGGUCUGUCGUGAAAUCCCCGGGCUCAACCUGGGAAUGGCGGUAGAAACCGGCGCACUAGAGUAUGGGAGAGGGUGGUGGAAUUCCAGGUGUAGCGGUGAAAUGCGUAGAGAUCUGGAGGAACAUCAGUGGCGAAGGCGGCCACCUGGCCCAAUACUGACGCUGAGGCACGAAAGCGUGGGGAGCAAACAGGAUUAGAUACCCUGGUAGUCCACGCCCUAAACGAUGAAUACUAGAUGUUUGGUACCUAGCGUACUGAGUGUCGUAGCUAACGCGAUAAGUAUUCCGCCUGGGAAGUACGGCCGCAAGGUUAAAACUCAAAGGAAUUGACGGGAGCCCGCACAAGCGGUGGAGCAUGUGGUUUAAUUCGACGCAACGCGAAGAACCUUACCUGGGCUCGAAAUGUAGCAGAUCGGGGUAGAAAUAUCCCUUCGCCACAAGGGGCUGCGAUAUAGGUACUCCAUGGCUGUAGUCAGCUCGUCUCGUGAGAUGUUGGGUUAAGUGCCGCAACGAGCGCAAGCCUUCUCUCCACUUGCCACCAUUUAGUUGGGCACUCUGACGAAACCGCCUCGGAUAACGGGGAGGAAGGUGGGGAUGACGUCAAGUCAUCAUGGCCUUUACGUCCAGGGCUUCACCCGUGCUUCAAUGGGCGAUACAAAUGCGAUGCAAGCUCCGCGAGGGGGAGCUAAUCGGGAAAAGUCCGGCCUCAGUUCGGAUGGCAGUCUGCAACUCGACUGCAGGAAGCGGGAAUCGCUAGUAAUCGCGGAUCAGAACGCCGCGGUGAAUUCGUUCCCGGGCCU
rnacentral:rRNA from 1 species